UACGUAGGGUGCAAGCGUUGUCCGGAAUUAUUGGGCGUAAAGAGCGUGUAGGCGGCUAGGUAGGUCCGUUGUGAAAACUCGAGGCUCAACCUCGAGACGCCGAUGGAAACCAUCUAGCUAGAGUCCGGAAGAGGAGAGUGGAAUUCCUGGUGUAGCGGUGAAAUGCGCAGAUAUCAGGAAGAACACCCGUGGCUAAGGCGGCUCUCUAGUACGGUACUGACGCUGAGACGCGAAAGCGUGGGGAGCGAACAGG
rnacentral:rRNA from 1 species